CUUACUCUCACCCCGUCUGGCUCCCAGACGCACUCGCGUUCACACACACUGCUGUCUGCACUGCUCAAGGAAAAAGAGAGAGGGACUGGACGCUGGGGGGGAGCAAGAGAGAGAGAGAAGCUGACAUCGCCACACCACCGGAGAGCAAAGACAGGAGUAACAAUGUUCUCUCAGGUAGGUGCAGCAUUGCUCCGAGGAGCCGGCAAGUCGGCCGCAGCCUUUUUACAAGCCUGCAAGUCUGUACACUUGACUUCCUGUUGCGCGCUGAACUGUGUGUGCGCACUUCUCGCUGAGCGAGGGAGGGAGGGAGGUAGGGAGGCUGGCGUCGUUUUUGCAAAGGCUGCAACCUGUUGAUAGGGCCAUUUCAGUCCUCAUUCAAGUGCGCCGCUUUGCUCUCCGACGCUGCGAGUUUGAAGCGUCUACAUGACAAAGGUCAGACAUCAAUCGUUUCUUUGAACGGGAGGCUUCCGCGUCUGUCUGCCAGUUUGAGCUCCACCCUCGCCAAUGACUUCAUUGGCUCUCCUCAACCUGUUUGUCCGCCUUCCUGCGCAACCGUCCGAUGCGUGUCAUCGUCUCGGCUAAAAGGCGCUGUCGGGAUGCGGCCGGCCGGAGUGGCUCAAACAUUCCUCUCGUUGUUCCGAGGCCUCGUAGGAUCUCAAAAGUCCAAGAAAGGAAAGGAAAGGACUUUUUGGGACGCUUUCUGGAGGUACCGGUCCACACCAAAUUGGAGCUCAUGAGAGCAACAAUGUAUCCCGUCAGGGAAACAUUUCGAUGAAUGCUAGGAAGGAGGGAAUGCAGCAGGAGAGGGAAAGGGAUGGCGUAGUGGAAUAAAAACGUGCGUGCAAGCGCGUGCGCGCACGUGUGGUUGCUUGAUGGCUGUGGACUAAGUACAAGCCCGGUGGCGGUAACUGGCAAAGGAUCGGGCCCAGGAUAAAGUUACACCACGCAGCAGAACCACGAGUUUGGGGCAGGGCAGGGCAGGGCUCGCUGGUGGUGCCCGGGAGAUUUGGCAAAAUCUUCAUGUGGAAUCGCCAUAGCUGAAUGUCACCCCGAGCGGCCCAUCCCGCUGAUUGGCUGCCAAGUGCGGCGUGGAAUACAGAGUCAGCCUUUGAAUGUCACCGUCUCGAUGCCACCGCCACGACAAUGACCACGCUACUUCCCGUCUACGCAAGCCGUCUCUGUUGACCAGGGGAAUUCCCGGCAGAGUGAUUUUGGAGACUAAAGACUGAAUCACAUUGCCAGGGAUUUCCAAUGGCUGGCAUGAGGAACGCCACGGGCGCACACACACACACUUUUGUCCUGGCCGUGCGGCGACAGGACUUAGCGCACAUGUGAACAGAAUCUACCAUGUUCACAGUGGUUAAGUUCUGUCGCCGCAGGGCUGCGGACUACAAGGGGUCGGAGGUCACGGGUUACUAUUGCAUAUGACUAUUAUUGACAAAAAUGAACUCCAAUGCUACGAUUUGGUUUUUGUAUCAAUAAUUCUCCCCCCCCCCAGCAGUUAAAGGCACAUAUCUGACAUGGACAGUACAUUUUUCUGAGCUUUCACGACACUAUUAGAAGAAUAUUUUCUUUAUAUGGUUUCUCUACAAUGUGUAACUAUUUUCAAUCAUCGCAAAACACAGUAUUGAUGUUGAAAAAUAUAUAUCCCUCAGAUUUAUCAAGUAAUUGUUUCGACAUGAUUUGCACAACUGGUUGCAUGCUGCUGUAAGAGGCCGCCCUAGCUUUUGAAACAAUUUCCUUUUGCUCGCUCGAAAAAUCUCGUGGCCAUUCACUGCAUUUGUUUGACAGUUGCGUGCGUGUGUACGGCGGCUGACUCACCGUUGUGUUAUGACAACGUGGGGAUGAUGCGCUGCACCUAGCUUUAUGGGAGCUGGUAUAAUGCCGUCUGCUAAUAAGCGCUAAUCUGUUGAAAAAGCAAAAGGUCACCACUCUUGAAAGCACAUUUUUUCAUUUUGCAUGAAUCAAUUAGUUCCAUGUGAAAAUAAAUAUUGUUGGUCUACUGGACCAGUCUCCUGUGCCUGCUGUGCUGAUAAUCAGUGUGUGACGUCGGCUGGCUCAGUUCAGCAGGAACAGGGGCCUGCACUCUCAUUUCUCCCUUCCAACUCGGAUAUACCAAUAUGUUCUUUUGAAGUGACAGUUGAAACUAUGACUUUUGUAUUAUUCAUGUCUCCUUGAUUACAGUGAAUGAGGUCAUUUGCACACUGGAAUAAAUCUUUUAGGGACAAUA